rnacentral:rRNA from 1 species
AUGGCCAGCGAAGGAAGGCUAGCGGAGGCCCCAUCAUCGGUGGUGGAGCCACGGAUCCCAUCGGGGUUGGGCUCGACCACCCGCAGGAGCAAAACCGCCCCGACCCGCCUCGUUUCCGCGCCUGAGGAGCAGGGAGCAACUCCAAAGCCACCAUGUCACUGCCCAUGGAGGUCCAUCUCUCGAUCCAUUCACCGCCAACGCGGGCCAGCCUCCACCGACGCCUCCCUCUGGCCCAGAUCCACAGCGCCCCGAGGGAGGCAUAGAUCUCGUCGGUGGCCAAUGUAUGCGGCAACCGGGGAUGCACGGCGGGGAGAGAUGGUUUGGAGGGUGGCGCGCGGCGACUGGGGACGCUCGGUGGGGAUAGAUGGUGGAGGAGGGUGGCACGCGCCUCGCCCAGGCCUCCUUCCACGCCGCAGCGGUGGAGUCCAAGCGCUCAUCGUGAGGACGCACAUGCGAGGAGGAUUUGGCGAGCUCCGGCGAGCUCUGACGACGAUUCGUUUGGCUCCGUGUCCAUUAGAGAUAUUUGGUCUAUUGUGGGUCCCACAUGACAGUGAGAAGAGUGACAGAUGGUUUUCUCAGUGA